CAAGGAUCAUCGGAGGAUCCCUACAUUGAGGAUACAUUUGAUAGAAAUCGAACGAGAGGCACCAUGAACUCAGGGUUGUGUCUGAGGGUGCUGAUACUGGUUGCUCUCACAGUAGACAUCAGAGCAGCUCAACCUGCCCCGGAGACGUUUGUCGUAUCGGAUGAAUGGUGGUCAUUAUUGCCGUCAACAAAGAGUCCGUUUUAUGCUGCAUCGUGUUAGAGGCUUUUAAUAAAAUCACGAGGUUUACAGCAUAAAUGACAGGUGACAUGACAACCUGAAAAAAGCGCCCCAAAUGCCAUGGCCGUUCUGACGUCUUCCUUGCCUAACCCCCCUAUUUAUAAACAAUGAAGCUGACCUCUUCUGG